CACCGCGGUUAAACGAGAGGCCCAAGUUGAUAACACCACGGCGUAAAGGGUGGUUAAGGAAAGCAGCAUAAUAAAGCCGAAUGGCCCUUUGGCCGUCAUACGCUUCUAGGUGUCCGAAGCCCAACCAUACGAAAGUAGCUUUAAUAAAGCCCACCUGACCCCACGAAAGCUGAGAAACAAACUGGGAUUAGAUACCCCACUAUGCUCAGCCAUAAACCUAGACAUCCAACUACAAUUAGAAGUCCGCCCGGGUACUACGAGCAUCAGCUUGAAACCCAAAGGACCUGACGGUGCCUUAGACCCCCCUAGAGGAGCCUGUUCUAGAACCGAUAACCCCCGUUAAACCUCACCACUCCUAGCCACCCCAGCCUAUAUACCGCCGUCGUCAGCUUACCCUGUGAAGGCAAUAAAAGUAAGCAAAAUGGGCACAACCCAGAACGUCAGGUCGAGGUGUAGCGUACGAAGUGGGAAGAAAUGGGCUACAUUUUCUAUAAUAGAAUACUACGAAUAUGCAACAUGAAAUAGUGCUUGAAGGAGGAUUUAGUAGUAAAAAGGAAGCAGAGUGUCCUUUUGAACCCGGCUCUGAGGCGCGUACACACCGCCCGUCACUCUCCCCUGUCAAAACGCAAUAAAAAUUCCUAAUGCUAAAGCACUGACAAGGGGAGGCAAGUCGUAACAUGGUAAGUGUACCGGAAGGUGCACUUGGAUUAAACCCAGGGCGUGGCUGAG
rnacentral:rRNA from 1 species